rnacentral:rRNA from 1 species
GAUGAACGCUGGCGGCGUGCUUAACACAUGCAAGUCGAACGGAAAGGCCCAAGCUUGCUUGGGUACUCGAUUGGCGAACGGGUGGGUAACGCGUGGGUGAUCUGCCCUGCACUUCGGGAUAAGCCUGGGAAACUGGGUCUAAUACCGGAUAGGACGAUGUUAUGGAUGCCAUUGUGGAAAGUUUUUUCGGUGUGGGAUGAGCUCGCGGCCUAUCAGCUUGUUGGUGGGGUAUUGGCCUACGAAGGCGUCGGCGGGUAGCCGGCCUGAGAGGGUGUACGGCGACCUUGGGACUGAGGUACGCACCGACUCCGACGGGAGGCAGAAGUGGGGAAUAUUGACCAAUGGGCGCAGGGCUGAUGCAGAGAGGCCGCGUGGGGUAUGACGGCCUUGGGGUUGUAGACCCCUUUCGCUAGGGGCGAGGCGUUUUUGUGACGGUACCUGGAGAAGAAGCACCGGCUAACUACGUG